GACGAACGCUGGCGGCGUGCUUAACACAUGCAAGUCGAACGAUGAAGCUGGAGCUUGCUCCGGUGGAUUAGUGGCGAACGGGUGAGUAACACGUGAGCAAUCUGCACUUGACUCUGGGAUAACUGCGGGAAACUGUAGCUACUACCGGAUACGAGAUUUGGAGGCAUCUCCGGAUCUGGAAAGAAUUUCGGUCAAGGAUGAGCUCGCGGCUUAUCAGCUUGUUGGUGAGGUAAUGGCUCACCAAGGCGACGACGGGUAGCCGGCCUGAGAGGGUGACCGGCCACGCUGGGACUGAGACACGGCCCAGACUCCUACGGGAGGCAGCAGUGGGGAAUAUUGCACAAUGGGCGAAAGCCUGAUGCAGCAACGCCGCGUGAGGGAUGAAGGCCUUCGGGUUGUAAACCUCUUUUAGUAGGGAAGAAGCGAAAGUGACGGUACCUACAGAAAAAGCACCGGCUAACUACGUGCCAGCCGCCGCCGUAA
rnacentral:rRNA from 1 species